AAUCAACGCUGGCGGCGUGCCUAACACAUGCAAGUCGAACGAGAAAGUGGAGCAAUCCAUGAGUAAAGUGGCGCACGGGUGAGUAACACGUGACUAACCUACCCUUGAGUGGGGAGUAACCUCGGGAAACCGGGGCGUAAUACCGCAUAACACCGAGAGGUCAAAGGAAGCAAUUCGCUUAAGGAGGGGGUCGGCGGCUGAUUAGCUAGUUGGUGAGGUAAUGGCUCACCAAGGCGAUGAUCAGUAUCCGGCCUGAGAGGGCGCACGGACACACUGGAACUGAAACACGGUCCAGACUCCUACGGGAGGCAGCA
rnacentral:rRNA from 1 species